rnacentral:rRNA from 1 species
UACGAAGGGGGCUAGCGUUGCUCGGAUUUACUGGGCGUAAAGCGCACGUAGGCGGAUCGUUAAGUCGGGGGUGAAAUCCUGGAGCUCAACUCCAGAACUGCCUUCGAUACUGGCGAUCUCGAGUCCGGAAGAGGUGAGUGGAACUCCUAGUGUAGAGGUGGAAUUCGUAGAUAUUAGGAAGAACACCAGUGGCGAAAGGCGACUCACUGGUCCGGUACUGACGCUGAGGUGCGAAAGCGUGGGGAGCAAACAGG